CCUUUUUGCUUGCAGUAUUUAUGACUCGGAAUUUAACAGCUAGCCUACACUCUCAGCAAUUACAGACUGGAUCACACAUCAGAAAUGAUGGCACUGAAUGAUAAACUUUGCCAUCAAAAUGAUGAAUGAUUCGGGCUUUUGGUCUUAAGUUACCUUAGCCCAGAACUCUCACAUUACAGCCGUACACACUUUGGAAAUGUUCCCUAUAUACAUGAAGCUGGGGAUAUCUAUUUAUAAGGAGGCUAGUAUACCUUGAUCUUAGGUAGUGGUCUUCUGGUGACACCAUCUGUUUCCAACAAAAACUCUAGUGUGGGAAAAUGAAGAGAACUUCUUCUGUCAUCCAGGGAGAAUGGCAACACUAGCACUGUCUUGGAUUAGGGAUGUAACCAUGUGUUCCUCUUAUGUCUUGGACUGGCGUUUGACACUCAGUAUUCAAAUGCUGUUGUAUAGGUUAAAGUAUGGUUAAAUUAGUUAUGCUGCGUGCAGGUCUUAAAUCUCUCCUCAUUGCUUGUUUCAAACUAAUAACACCUGUCAUUUAGUUAGGGAUUAAUUACUUGUGGGACUCAUUAGUUAUGGUGUCAAUGGAUGCUGACAGUUGUUCUUAGGAAGGAAGUGGAGUUGAGAGAAAACCUAGUUAAUAGAAGAUUUAAGACUGACUGUAAAAAGCUGUCACCUUAUGGCAAUGAUUAACUUAUAAUACUUAAAACCACAAACCGACACACUCCUCUGUCCCCAUCAUCCCUCCCCCCCCCCAAAAGAAAAAAAACCCAGACAAACCCAGGAUAUCUUUUCCGUGACUGCCUGAGAUUGCUGAAGGUGGGAUUUUUAAUCCUAAUGAAUUUUUGGCUAGUGCCUGAUUUUUCCCCACCAUUUAGGCAGAAGGAAGCAACUUACUCCCAGAUGAGUUGAUCUCUCACAGGGGUCUCUCUGGAGUGGUGCCAGCAUUGAAGGCCUGUUUAAGGAGGGCCUCUGUCAGUACAAUUUCUCCUUCCAAGGUCAUUUUGUCAGACCAGAAUCCAGGAAGAUACAAAACCUUCAUCUGUGGUACUCAGUUCUGCUUUGCUCUCAGGGAUCUUUUCUCUCCAGUUAACUGUCAUUAUGCUGCUGUUCAGGUCUCAUUAACUUUCUGCAACUCUUAUUACUCCUUAUCAUUUGAUUGAAGUCACAUGUUCUCCAGACACCAUCGCUGCCAAUUGAACAAUUUAUCCAUCCACUUCUUCCAAGAGAAGCUCCAUCCUGCUCACUCCGCACAAAAUGUCUUUAUGCGCAGUCUCUCCAAACUCCCUCAUUGGCUGAAGAGGCGUUUGCAGAGUCCUGGCUGGUGCUUGAACCUCCACUAAAACUGGCAGCCCAGGAAGUCCAGAACCACAGCCUGCUGUGACAUGCGUGUUAGCGUCACCCAUGGUUAGUACCCUGCCUUUUAUUCAAGCUGCAGCCAGAGGAAAGGGUUGUCCAAUGGUUUCUGUUUGGUCUGCUUCAUCAGGUGCAUCUUCAGUAGUUAGAGUGGUAUUGUGGUAGAGCAGCACUCCCUCUAACCAUGUUUUGUUACCCACCUGUGACUCCACACUACAGUCCUACCUCAGCAUAUCUGUUGCCAUGAACAAUUGUGAGCUGGAGGUUCAGGAAGUAAAUGUUAAGUUGUUAAUAAACCAAAAACCAGGUAGCUUGAAAGUCCUAGGACUUUGUUUCUAAAGCACAAGCCUUUAAAGUAAUUCAGUGUUAGAUGUUGUCAGAUAUAUGCAAUUUGAAAGAGAAAACACUAUAUAAAAAAAAGCAAGAAUUUGAUGUUAUAUUUUUGUUUCUGAACAGUUCAUUUGUUUUGAAAGCUGAAUGAUAUUUUUUUAAACAAAGGAGGAAAAAUAAAAGACAUGUAAUUUUA